AGCAGCCGCCACGGUAAUACGAAGGGGGCUAGCGUUGUUCGGAUUUACUGGGCGUAAAGCGCACGUAGGCGGACUUUUAAGUCAGGGGUGAAAUCCCGGGGCUCAACCCCGGAACUGCCUUUGAUACUGGAAGUCUUGAGUAUGGUAGAGGUGAGUGGAAUUCCGAGUGUAGAGGUGAAAUUCGUAGAUAUUCGGAGGAACACCAGUGGCGAAGGCGGCCCACUGGACCAUUACUGACGCUGAGGUGCGAAAGCGUGGGGAGCAAACAGGAUUAGAUACCCCUGUAGUCCCUGUCUCUUAUAC
rnacentral:rRNA from 1 species